UAUCAUCAACUGUACAACAUUUUCCACUCAUUUAUAAAACAAUAAACUAUCCAAUAAACGCGACUGUAAUAUAUAAAAUGUACAAAAAGUGACGAAAUCAAAGCCGCAAAAGUCAGUACAUGUUAUAAACGGAAAUUUUCUUUGAUACUUGCAGUGAGUAGCUGUCACAGAACACAAGAUAUUUGAGAGAUACCUGAAAACUCUUGUUUCAAGGUGGAUGGCAACAUUUACGUUGUAGAUGUCUAUGGGUUCCGGUAACCACUUAACACCAGGUGGGCCGCGAAUCCAUCCAUUCAACUAAGCAAUAAAAAAAACAAUUAAAAAAAUAUUUUCAAGUUAAAACAAUGAAUCAUCAUGAAAAUGGCAGACAGUGUAGCUUAUCUGUUAAUACUUUGGAAAAUAAAACGAAAAAAGCAAAGAAGUUGAUAAGCAAAUAGCCAUCAAUUCUGAUCCAAUAGAAAAUCGCAACAAGUUCGCCAAAUCGAAUCAACACAACGUAGAGGCGAGGUUCUACUGCCAGCGUGGAAGCUCGCGGAAACUUUACUCUUAGUGAUGAUAUUUUAACCAUCAAAGAAACCAAAAAAACUUGGUCGCAGUGAGGGUAGAAUCGAAAAAAACACUCACAAAGAACAAGUCACAAGUCAUCUUAUCGAAAUUCCCCGAAAAUACUUAAGCCACAUCAAUUCUAAAGGUGCGAUAUAAUAUCAUUAUGAGCAGUUCAUGAACCAAUAACGCGUAGUUACGGUUUGAGAGCGCAAUAGCGGCAAUUUUUGUCCAAUCUCAUGGAUUUCCGGUGCCGCGCUCCGUUUCCGGUGGCGGAAACGAACACGCCGAGCGUACGCGAUAUACAUGCUGUCCAACGUUCAGAGAUAAACGAUACAAAGAUUAAUUUCGUCUUGACAUUAACUAUGUUAUGAGUAAAUUGCAGUUUCGAAUCGACAUUAUCGCGCGUCGUAGCUUAUUAAGUCAUAAUAGGUUGAUUAAAAGGUGUAUUAUUUCAACGAAUUAUGAUGCAUUGAAGUUUUGAUGGCAGUUGGUAACAGGAGUGGAUUCUGACGACGAAUAAAGUAUUACCCGUUUUGACAAAAUUGAAAAUUCGAGUGUGAUUAAAAAUCGUUGUACAUUG